rnacentral:rRNA from 1 species
CCGGUGUACAAACCGGAGGAAGGUGGGAUGACGUCAAGUCAUCAUGGCCCUUAUGUCCAGGGCUACACACGUGCUACAAUGGGUGAGACAGAGUGACGCGAAGCCGCGAGGUGGAGCAAAUCGCAGAAAAUCAUCCGUAGUUCGGAUUGGAGUCUGAAACCCGACUCCAUGAAGGUGGAAUCGCUAGUAAUCGCGCAUCAGCAUGGCGCGGUGAAUACGUUCCCGGGCCUU